rnacentral:rRNA from 1 species
CAAUAGCGUAUAUUAAAGUUGUUGCAGUUAAAAAGCUCGUAGUUGGAUGUCUGGCUCUCGCAGGAGCUGUCUGCCGAAAGGUAGCACGGCUCGGCGGGGCCAUCCUCUCGAGGACGGGGUGUGCCUUUAACUAGGUGUGCCUUUGGACUCGGGACCUUUACUUUGAAAAAAUUAGAGUGUUCAAAGCAGGCAUCGCCGUUGAAUACAUUAGCAUGGAAUAAUAAGAUAAGACUUUGGUGGUCUAUUUUGUUGGUUUGCACGCCAAAGUAAUGAUUAAUAGGGAUAGUUGGGGGUAUUCGUAUUCUAUUGCUAGAGGUGAAAUUCUUAAAUUUAUGGAAGACGAACUACUGCGAAAGCAUUUACCAAGGAUGUUUNCAUUAA